GCUGCCGUGGCGCAACUGGUUAGCGCGUGCGGCUGUUAGAUGAGAAUCUUACAGUUCACCGCAAGGUUGGUGGUUCGAGUCCACCCGGUAGCG